GUCCUGUCAGUUUCGUCGCAGCUUGUCGUCGUUUGUUGUUAUUUACUUGAGUUACAUUUUUCGUUCGCCUUCUCGUCUCCAGUAUCCUUAACGUAGAUUUUCGUCUUAAAUGUUAUUUGUUUGUAGUUUUAUCGUAUCUGUUCUUUGGUGUUCUGUCGGUUUGUCUGUUUGUUCCUUUCAGGAUAUUUGCCAUCAUCAUUCCUUUUGCUGUGGAUUGUGACAGCUUGUUGAUGUCGGGCACCGGGUGUUUCAAAAACACUGCCUAUAUCCGAGAUCGCAACAAAACACCUGGGUGGCGGAGUAGUUUAGCUCGACGCGGGACAGGUGGCAACGAUCUCGGCUUCGGACGUGGGGAAGAAACCCACCCAUAUAGCCGGGCAAUAGGGCGUAUGCCUUAUCCUUGACCUAGUCAACAACUUUAGGAAUCGCUCACGAUGUUCCCACUCCUAGACAACUGUAUCCACCGGAAUCAAAUAUCUUGCUCAUUUAUUUAGUUUUGAAACUACUGAAUAUAUUUGUUUGUCCGUU